rnacentral:rRNA from 1 species
AGUGAACGCUGGCGGCAGGCCUAACACAUGCAAGUCGAACGACCUCUUCGUAAUUAGUGGCUCUUACGUGUGUCGACUGUCGGAAGGUUCAUUUUUGUUUCGAAUUCUUCUUUUUCAUUUGUGAUAACGUCGGAUGUCUUCUUCUGGUACAGCAUUUAUCCUACUUUUUACAGCCCGCGUUCUUUUCGCUUUUUGCUUUUGUAUGCGCUGAUGUCGGCUUAGAUAGUUGGCGGGUUAAAGACACACCAAGGCGACGCUCGGAAGCUGGUCUGAGAGGAUGAUCAGCCACACGGGAAGUGAGACACGGUCCAGACUCCUACGGGAGGCAGCAGUGGGGAAUAUUGGACAAUGGGCGAAAGCCUGAUCCAGCAAUACCGCGUGGGUGAAGAAGGACUUCGGGUUGUAAAGCCCUUUUGUUGGGAAAGAAAAGAAGUAGGUUAAUACCCCGCUGUUAUGACGGUACCCAAAGAAUAAGCACCGGCUAACUUCGUG